GAUGAAGAACGCAGUGAAAUGCGAUAAGUAAUGUGAAUUGCAGAAUUCAGUGAAUCAUCGAAUCUUUGAACGCGCAUUGCGCCCCCUGGUAUUCCGGGGGGCAUGCCUGUUCGAGCGUCAUUUCACCACUCAAGCCUCGCUUGGUAUUGGGCAACGCGGUCCGCCGCGUGCCUCAAAUCGACCGGCUGGGUCUUCUGUCCCCUAAGCGUUGUGGAAACUAUUCGCUAAAGGGUGUUCGGGAGGCUACGCCGUAAAACAACCCCAUUUCUAAGGUUGACCUCGGAUCAGGUAGGGAUACCCGCUGAACUUAAGCAUAUCAAUAAGCGGAGGA
rnacentral:misc_RNA from 1 species